rnacentral:rRNA from 1 species
UUCCGGUUGAUCCUGCCGGAGGUUACUGCUAUCGGGGUCCGACUAAGCCAUGCGAGUUGAAUGUCCGAAAGGGCAUAGCGUACUGCUCAGUAACACGUGGACAACCUGCCCUGAGGACUGGAAUAAUCCCGGGAAACUGGGGGUAAUUCCAGAUAUGUCAGAACACCUGGAAUGGGUUCUGGCAGAAAUGCUCCGGCGCCUCAGGAUGGGUCUGCGGCCUAUCAGGGUAGUAGUGGGUGUAACGUACCUACUAGCCUACGACGGGUACGGGUUGUGAGAGCAAGAGCCCGGAGAUGGAUUCUGAGACAUGAAUCCAGGCCCUACGGGGUGCAGCGGCGCGAGAACUUUACAAUGCGGGCAACCGCGAUAAGGGGACCUCGAGUGCUGGGUUACAAACCUGGCUGUUGGGCUGCCUAAAAAGCAGUCUAUAGCAAGGGCCGGGCAAGACCGGUGCCAGCCGCCGCGGUAACACCGGCGGCUCGAGUGGUAACCGCUGUUAUUGGGUCUAAAGGGUCUGUAGCCUGCCGGCUAAGUCUCUUGGGAAAUCUGGCAUCUCAAGUGUCAGGCUGCCAGGGGAUACUGGCCGGCUUGGGACCGGGAGAGGUGAGAGGUACCUCAGGGGUAGGGGUGAAAUCUUGUAAUCCUUGAGGGACCACCAGUGGCGAAGGCGUCUCACCAGAACGGAUCCGACGGCAAGGGACGGAAGCUAGGGGCACGAACCGGAUUAGAUACCCGGGUAGUCCUAGCCGUAAACGAUACUCGCUAGGUGUCGGCCACGGUGCGACCGUGGUCGGUGCCGUAGGGAAGCCGUGAAGCGAGCCACCUGGGAAGUACGGCCGCAAGGCUGAAACUUAAAGGAAUUGGCGGGGGAGCACA